rnacentral:rRNA from 1 species
GGUGAAAAGCACCCCGGAAGGGGAGUGAAAUAGAACCUGAAACCGUGUGCUUACAAGUAGUCAGAGCCCGUUAAUGGGUGAUGGCGUGCCUUUUGUAGAAUGAACCGGCGAGUUACGAUUUGAUGCAAGGUUAAGCAGUAAAUGUGGAGCCGUAGCGAAAGCGAGUCUGAAUAGGGCGUUUAGUAUUUGGUCGUAGACCCGAAACCAGGUGAUCUACCCUUGGUCAGGUUGAAGUUCAGGUAACACUGAAUGGAGGACCGAACCGACUUACGUUGAAAAGUGAGCGGAUGAACUGAGGGUAGCGGAGAAAUUCCAAUCGAACCUGGAGAUAGCUGGUUCUCUCCGAAAUAGCUUUAGGGCUAGCCUCAAGUGAUGAUUAUUGGAGGUAGAGCACUGUUUGGACGAGGGGCCCCUCUCGGGUUACCGAAUUCAGACAAACUCCGAAUGCCAAUUAAUUUAACUUGGGAGUCAGAACAUGGGUGAUAAGGUCCGUGUUCGAAAGGGAAACAGCCCAGACCACCAGCUAAGGUCCCAAAAUAUAUGUUAAGUGGAAAAGGAUGUGGCGUUGCCCAGACAACUAGGAUGUUGGCUUAGAAGCAGCCAUCAUUUAAAGAGUGCGUAAUAGCUCACUAGUCGAGUGACACUGCGCCGAAAAUGUACCGGGGCUAAACAUAUUACCGAAGCUGUGGAUUGUCCUUUGGACAAUGGUAGGAGAGCGUUCUAAGGGCGUUGAAGCAUGAUCGUAAGGACAUGUGGAGCGCUUAGAAGUGAGAAUGCCGGUGUGAGUAGCGAAAGACGGGUGAGAAUCCCGUCCACCGAUUGACUAAGGUUUCCAGAGGAAGGCUCGUCCGCUCUGGGUUAGUCGGGUCCUAAGCUGAGGCCGACAGGCGUAGGCGAUGGAUAACAGGUUGAUAUUCCUGUACCACCUAUAAUCGUUUUAAUCGAUGGGGGGACGCAGUAGGAUAGGCGAAGCGUGCGAUUGGAUUGCACGUCUAAGCAGUAAGGCUGAGUAUUAGGCAAAUCCGGUACUCA